rnacentral:ncRNA from 1 species
CAGUUCGGUCCCUAUCCGCUGCGCGCGUAGGAGUCUUGAGAAGGGCUGUCCCUAGUACGAGAGGACCGGGACGGACGAACCUCUGGUGUGCCAGUUGUCCUGCCAAGGGCAUGGCUGGUUGGCUACGUUCGGGAGGGAUAACCGCUGAAAGCAUCUAAGCGGGAAGCCUGCUUCGAGAUGAGGGCUCCCACCCACUUGAUGGGGUAAGGCUCCCAGUAGACGACUGGGUUGAUAGGCCGGAUGUGGAAGCCCUGUAAGGGGUGGAGCUGACCGGUACUAAUAGGCCGAGGGCUUGUCCUC